UACGAAGGGGGCUAGCGUUGUUCGGAUUUACUGGGCGUAAAGCGCGUGUAGGCGGGUCGUUAAGUUGGGGGUGAAAUCCCGAGGCUCAACCUCGGAACUGCCUUCAAAACUGGCGACCUGGACUCAAGUAGAGGCAAGUGGAAUUGCGAGUGUAGAGGUGAAAUUCGUAGAUAUUCGCAGGAACACCAGUGGCGAAGGCGAACUUGCUGGACUUGUAGUGACGCUGAGACGCGAAAGCGUGGGGAGCAACAGGAUUAAGAA
rnacentral:rRNA from 1 species